rnacentral:rRNA from 1 species
GAUCAUGGCUCAGGACGAACGCUGGCGGCGUGCUUAACACAUGCAAGUCGAACGAGAAUCUACUGAAGGAGGAUUCGUCCAACGGAAGUAGAGGAAAGUGGCGGACGGGUGAGUAACGCGUGAGGAACCUGCCUUGAAGAGGGGGACAACAGUUGGAAACGACUGCUAAUACCGCAUGAAGCAUAGGGGUCGCAUGAUUCUUAUGCCAAAGAUUUAUCGCUUCAAGAUGGCCUCGCGU